CUGAGUCAUUGCUCCACAUCCUGCCCCGCUUCAGCACUUCCUCAUUCAAGGCAGAAGCUCCUUGCAGCAGCACAUUUCAAUCUCAGCACAUUCAGGCAGGAUACCGAGAGAUCCCACACUGCCUUCCCUCCCACUCAGGACAAGGAAUCUAGAGCCAGCCAUCCCUGUGGAAGCUGAACAUUCCUAAACAUACACAGAAGGUGGCAGUCCAGUCCAGGUGGCAAGACACUGCAGACACAUGUCAAUGGCCAGAGCUUUGUUUCAACAGGGCUCUGCUUCUGUUGGCCUGGGAGAGGAGCUCAGAUCAGGCUGCGUGGGCACACUCGGGUGCUCAGCCCUAGCCCGAGGCAUCCAUACCGCCUAUGGUGGUUAGCAGAGGCAUACCAGAACUCCCACUGGCUUGAGUUUUCCACUGUGUG